UGCCGCGUUCGUGAAUUGCGUUUCUGCACGAUGGGUGGAAUUAGAAAGAAUAAAGUAAAACUACCUGCACCAAAAACCAAACAGAAGAAAGCCCUUAACAAAUGGAAGCAAGAAAAGAGCAGCGUCAAAGGUGUGAAAGGCCCAAACCGCGUUAAAUUGGGCGUUUCAAAAGCGGACAAAAAAGCCACCCGCAAACCGAUGGUAUUCGUGUCUCCAAAAAAAGACGCUUCAUCCGAGGAGAUGGAUAAUUCGGACGAAGCAGAACAGCAGGAAACCGUUCCAUCCAAACUACCAGUUCUGGAACCGGUUCCGACCGAUAUACAAGAUCCGCAACUGCACCCGGGCAAAAUAAAACAAUUGCAACCGGUGAUCGGGUACAUUUACAACGGUGAUCAGCUGUCGCUGAAGCAAAGCUUCGAACAGGCCGGUCUGCUGCUUUCGCCAGAUUACGAUGAGAAGACGCGUAUAUUUCGCUUUCUGGUAGAUACGAAGGAAAUGUGCCGAGCGGAAGGCGAAAGGAACGAAGCACACUCGAUAGCGCGCGAGAAGCUGGUACAGAUCGUCCGGUACUACUGUUACACCGUGAAGCGUGUAAAGGAGUAUCACACGCGUAGGAAAAUUUUCUACACCCGACCACCGAAAGCGUCGCUUCAGGCACAGAAGGAUCAGAAGAAGCUCUCGGAAGAGAACGUUGGUUUUAAGAUGUUGCAGAAGCAAGGCUGGAAUCCGGGAUCCGCUCUCGGUGUGUCGGCUGACGGUAUUAUCGAACCGAUUGUCGCCCAGAAACGUAAGGGUAAAAAAGGUCUUGGCGUGGAAGAUGCUGUGGCCCCGGAUGCAACCACUGGCGAGAAGGUGAAGAUUCCACUGGAAGCGUUCUACCUGCUGCUGAAACAGUACGCCGGUGUAAAUGCACUGUACGAUAUAGUGUUUAGCACGCAGUUUUCCAAACAUCAGAAGGAUAAGUUGAAAAACUUUGCUGCAUCAUUGAAGCUGCUGCCACAGAUGAUUGGCCACAACAAGAAGAAGCUGGUCGUGAGCCGGCCACUAACGAUCAAGCAGAUCAAGGAGGGCGUCAUGAAGGGACACUCGGAUCUGUGCGCCAAGUAUGUCGUCAUACCACCCGCGGCCGGUAUCCCGGAGAAAGAUAGGGUGCUGUAAGAAAAAACAAAACUUUGAUAGGAACACUACGCAAAAUUAUGACGACACGUUCUCAUAUCGAUAGUAUCACCUACGGUUUUUGAUACGAACUCUACUUAUCAUUCGACAGCUUUCUUACUGGACACUAUACACGUUAUGAUACAGGCUAUGUAUGAAAUCCCUUCCUUCCUACACAACUCGCUGGCACUUUACUGUGCUGCGGUUUAAAUGAGUGGAUAAUAUGCGCCGCACAUGAGCGGGGUGUGUAUUUCAAUGUGCCAAAGCUUGGUGAUCCUUUUGGUGUGCGAGCCCCCGGUUCGGUCUGCCCUUUGGUGGAAGGUUUACUAAGGAAGCACUAAGAAAAUGUCUAAAAAGAAACAGAAGAACAGAAAAAUUACAAACAUAUAAUAUAAUAAUGAAGAAAAAAAACAUAAUAUGCAAGCCAAAUGUAUAAAU